CUUAUACUCCCUCCGUCCCAAAAUUCUUGCCUUAGAUUUGUCUAAAUACGGAUGUAUCAAGUCACGUUUUAGUAUUAGAUACAUCCGUAUCUAGUCAAAUCUAAGACAAGAAUUUUGGGACGGGGGAGUAUUUU
rnacentral:pre_miRNA from 1 species